CCACAUGAUGAUCCCUUUUGUUUUCGCUGUGUUCUUACCGAGUCACACUUUGAAGAAACAACAUCACCUUGGAGAACUGAGAA
rnacentral:snoRNA from 1 species